rnacentral:rRNA from 1 species
GUUGGAAUUACGGAUUAGGGCCAGGAUUGGUUCUUUGAAGGUGGAUUUGUGAGUAAUUAUUUUUAUAGUAUUAAUAAAUGAAGGGUGGAAUAACAUGUGUACAUAUUGCCCGUCGCUCUCGUUAUUUUUGAGAUAAGUCGUAACAUAGUUGAUGAACUGGAAAGUGUAUCUUUUUGA